CUUCCAGUAGCACCUUAGAGACCAACUAAGUUUGUUAUUGGUAUGAACUUUUGUGUGAAGAAGUGUACAUGCACAUGAAAGCUCAUGCCAAUAACAAACUUAGUUGGUCUCUAAGGUGCUACUGGAAG